GUAGUAGUAGUAGUAGUAGUAGUAGGUAGUUGUUGUUGUUGUUGUGGCUGUUGUAAUAGUAGUAGUAGUUUUGCAGAAGUAGUAGUAGUAGUAGUAGUACUAGUAGUAGAAGUAAAAGUAGUAACUUUCAAAGCAAUGUCUACAAGUUUAAAUUCCUUAACCCUGUUCAAGGUGUAUACACACUCAAUAUUUAACUACAGUCCAGGUUUGCAAUUAACAAACUAUCUGAAAAGCCUGUGUGUGAGUCAGAUGUGUCUGCGGCUAAUCUAUUGGUUAUAAAAUAUCACAGCCUUUUCUGAUUGGCUGAGUUCAAAUACAGAAAGUUUACCUGUUAGAUUGAAAUUAUGGAGAAGGCGUAUUGAAGAAAAAAUGCAGGUUAAACUUGUUGUUAAAAUGAAGUUAAUGUAAUUUCACAAACAGUAGAGUUUAACUUAAUGAGUUUUUCCAUUAACAAGAAUUUCUUAAAAUAAUAAUGUAUGGAUAUCAUUUGGAAAGUGACAUGAAAUGUUGUUAAAAAGUGAUGCAUACAAGUGUUUCAGAAGUCUGUCUAGGAAUAGAACAACAACUGAAGCUGACCAGUUGAUGGAAGAUACUGCAGAGUUUGGCAGGGAAAUAACCCAAGACAGCAAAGCGGCUCUUUUGGCGCAUUUACCAAGAGGACUAACAUGGCCACAAAUUCAUGAGAUCAUGCAGGAGCCGUACAGUAUAACAGCAGUACAAGUUCUAUAAAAGAUCCACGACCUACUGAAGCCCAGCUAAUUAACAAAAAAGUUUUUAAAAACUGUAAUUUUAUCCCACCUGGGUACUUAUAAUUUACUAAGCUGCCUUCACAAGUUUUAGACUUGCAAUUAUAUUUUAAACUGUCACUUGGAAAGUAAUACAUGUACAUGCAUUCAUGUUCUGAAUUUCUUUGAACAAUAAAAUUAUAUAAAAGUAUUUUAAUGAAAUUGAGCACCUAAAUUGCAUUAAAGUGAAAGUAGCUGAGAAAAAUAGUAUCCUUAAUUGUUCUCAUGGGCAGCUACAUAUAUUGUGACAAACAUGAAGUAGCUAAAAUAACUUAAAUUUUUCAUUUUGUUUCUUGUAUAUAGUUUGUACAGGGUUCGUGAAUUGUUACUGUAUAUUACUUGACUUGCUUGUAUUUUGUUACUUUGAAUACAUGUUGUUAAGGUUGCAUUAUACUUUUUAACUUUUAAAGUAGCGCCUGUUCUGUUAUGUAAGGGCCUGAUUUAUGAUAAUGGACCUAGAGGCUUUGUAAGCAUGUAUUAAACAACACUUGUUUGAUCUGAAUAAUUUGUUAAAUAAAUGUAACACAAUUUGUAAUCUGAUGUUAUAUUUUGAUGAAUUGUGAACAAAAUAAUACAUCGAAGAAACUAA